AUGAGAAACCAUGAGCAGAUCUCGGGGCUCCCAAGUGCUUACUUUGCCCCUGGCCUAUGCGAAGUUCCAGCCCCGGCCUCUGCGCUGACCGGCUGGGCCACUCUUCUGAGCCUCAUGCCCAUGCGUGUCCAGCGCGUGUCUCCACCAGGGGAGCUGUCACUGUUGUGUAGAUCUGAUGCGAGAUAUGUUAUUGUUGAUACUGCGGGGAGUGUGCUUGCAGGAGCAGAAAGCCCUCAGCUGUGCCGUGGAUUCUACCUGGGUGCACGUCCACGCAGAGCCAUGAGCAGUGCUGUCUCUGCACCUCCAUAUCAGGCCUGUUUUUUAUUCAAGAAAGACAAGCUCUUCCCCACAGCAAAUAAACUUGUGAAUAAAGAACAUUGUUUUCUAAUCAUGAUCUGGAUUCAGCUUGCACAAGAACUGUCUACAACCAGCUGCACAAUUGUGGUCACUCGGGUGUGUGCAGUGUGUAUGACCCUCCUGCCCCAAGCAGGACAGAGAGAUGGAGAUGGGCAGACGCUCCAAGGGCACAGGAGGCUGUAGAGAGUGAACUUGCUGCUAACCAAAAGAGCCAGGAACUUAGACUCUGAUACAGAUCCUCAAAUUCCAUAAAAGUCGACACACCUCACAGAAAAGGAAGCAAUGAGAAAGGGACUCUUGAUGUGGAAGAAACGAUGAGGACACUGGAGGAUCUGCUCAGAAGUUUCAACGUCACUGAGUUCAAGGAAGAAAAUGGGAGGAUCAAGCUACCUAAUAAUUCAAAAAAAUUUCCCAGGAAUACCUGGGUGGCUCAGCAGUUGAGCGUCUGCCUUUGGCUCGGGGUGUGAUCCCAGGAUCUGGGAUCGAGUCCCACAUCAGGCUCCCUGCAUGGAGCCUGCUUCUCCCUCUGCCUCUGUCUCUGCCUCUGUCUCUGUGUCUCUCAUGAGUAAAUAAAUAAAUAAAUAAAAUCUUAAAAAAAUAAAAA
rnacentral:lncRNA from 12 species